GACGAACGCUGGCGGCGUGCUUAACACAUGCAAGUCGAACGGUGAAAGCGGAGCUUGCUCCGCUGGAUCAGUGGCGAACGGGUGAGUAACACGUGGGCAACCUGCCCCUCACUUCGGGAUAACCCCGGGAAACCGGGGCUAAUACCGGAUAUGACCUCCUUGGGCAUCCUUGGAGGUGGAAAGUUUUUCGGUGAGAGGAUGGGCCCGCGGCUUGGCAGGUUGUUGGUGAGGUAGUGGCUCACAAAGACGACGACGGGGAGCCGGCCUGAGAGGGCGGGCGGCAAAACUGUAACUGGGACACGGCCCAGACUCCGACGGGAGGCAGAAGUGGGGAAUAUUGCGCAAUGCACGAAUGCCUGACGCAGCAGCGCCGCGUGCGGGAUGACGGCCUUCGGGUUGUAAACCGCUUUCAGCAGGGAAGAAGCCGCAAGGUGACGGUACCUGCAGAAGAAGCACCGGCUAACUACGUGCCAGCCGCCGCGGUAA
rnacentral:rRNA from 1 species